UGUUUUUGCUUUUAAAUGGUUGUGCGAAGUGUACCAUGUGUACCUUUUUGUGGAAAAGAGUUUGAAGUCUUGUUGGGUUUGUCACAAUAUGCCUGUUGCCUAACACUACAGAAAGUGUUCUUAUCUGGCGACCACACUGGAUAGGUGGUAGUUUGGUCUCACU
ensembl:misc_RNA